GAGGGUAUAACUCAGUGGUAGAGUGCAUGCUUAGCAUGCAUGAGGUCCUGGGUUCAACCUCCAGUACCUCCA
rnacentral:tRNA from 1 species